rnacentral:rRNA from 1 species
UAGCUAGUUGGUAGGGUAAAGGCCUACCAAGGCGACGAUCGGUAGCUGGUCUGAGAGGAUGACCAGCCACACUGGAACUGAGACACGGUCCAGACUCCUACGGGAGGCAGCAGUGGGGAAUAUUGGACAAUGGGGGGAACCCUGAUCCAGCAAUGCCGCGUGUGUGAAGAAGGCCUGAGGGUUGUAAAGCACUUUCAGCGGGGAGGAGGGUUGAUUGUUUAAGAGAUGAUUAAUUGGACGUUACCCACAGAAGAAGCACCGGCUAACUCCGUGCCAGCAGCCGCGGUAAUACGGAGGGUGCGAGCGUUAAUCGGAAUUACUGGGCGUAAAGGGUGCGUAGGUGGUUUGAUAAGUUAUCUGUGAAAUCCCUGGGCUCAACCUGGGCAGGUCAGAUAAUACUGUUGAACUCGAGUAUGGGAGAGGGUAGUGGAAUUUCCGGUGUAGCGGUGAAAUGCGUAGAGAUCGGAAGGAACACCAGUGGCGAAGGCGGCUACCUGGCCUAAUACUGACACUGAGGCACGAAAGCGUGGGGAACAAACAGGAUUAGAUACCCUGGUAGUCCACGCCGUAAACGAUGUCAACUAGCUGUUGGUUAUAUGAAUAUAAUUAGUGGCGC